GACGAACGCUGGCGGCGUGCUUAACACAUGCCAGUCGAACGGAAAGGCCCUGCUUUUGUGGGGUGCUCGAGUGGCGAACGGGUGAGUAACACGUGAGUAACCUGCCCUUGACUUUGGGAUAACUUCAGGAAACUGGGGCUAAUACCGGAUAGGAGCUCCUGCUGCAUGGUGGGGGUUGGAAAGUUUCGGCGGUUGGGGAUGGACUCGCGGCUUAUCAGCUUGUUGGUGGGGUAGUGGCUUACCAAGGCUUUGACGGGUAGCCGGCCUGAGAGGGUGACCGGCCACAUUGGGACUGAGAUACGGCCCAGACUCCUACAGGAGGCAGCAGUGGGGAAUAUUGCACAAUGGGCGGAAGCCUGAUGCAGCAACGCCGCGUGCGGGAUGACGGCCUUCGGGUUGUAAACCGCUUUCGCCUGUGACGAAGCGUGAGUGACGGUAAUGGGUAAAGAAGCACCGGCUAACUACGUG
rnacentral:rRNA from 1 species